rnacentral:sRNA from 1 species
GCUAGGCACAGUGGUGCAUGCCUGUAAUCCCAGCAAUUUGGGAGGCUGAGGCAGGGGGAUCACAAGUUUGAGUCCAGCUUCAGCAACUAAGUGAGACCUUGUUUCAA